rnacentral:tRNA from 1 species
GGGCCCGUUGCCCAGCCAGGACAGGGCGCUAGCCCUCUAAGCUAGAUGUCGCGCGUUCAAAUCGCGCCGGGCCCGCCA